rnacentral:rRNA from 1 species
GAUGAACGCUGGCGGCGUGCCUAAUACAUGCAAGUCGAGCGAACAGACUAGGAGCUUGCUCCUCUGACGUUAGCGGCGGACGGGUGAGUAACACGUGGAUAACCUACCUAUAAGACUUGGCUAACUUCGGGAAACCGUAGCUAAUACCGGAUAAUAUAUUGAACCGCAUGGUUCAAUAGUGAAAGACGGUUUUGCUUUCACUUAUAGCUUGAUCCGCGCCGCAUUAGCUAGUUGGUAAGGUAACGGCUUACCAAGGCAACGAUGCGUAGCCGACCUGAGAGGGUGAUCGGCCACACUGGAACUGAGACACGGUCCAGACUCCUAAGGGAGGCAGCAGUAGGGAAUCUUACGCAAUGGGCGAAAGCUUGACGGAGCAACGCCGCGUGAGUGAUGAAGGUCUUCGGAUCGUAAAAAUCUGUUAUUAGGGAAGAACAAAUGUGUAAGUAACUAUGCACGUAUUGACGGUACCUAAUCAGAAAGCCACGGCUAACUACGUG